AAGCUUUACUAUCAAGCACUGUGUUUUUUCACCUAUGCUUUCUUGGUUCAUUGAGUCAGAGCUCACUGGUUGAAUAACUAUGCUAUCACAAUUGUAAGAUCCACUAAAAAUUGGUCUCAUGGCAGAUCAUGAUGCAGAAUCUUGCUCCUCAUAUUUUAUAUAUGAUGUUUUUCUGAGCUUUAGAGGCUUCACCCGAUAUGGAUUCACAGAUCGCCUCUAUCAUGCUCUGUGUGAGAGAGGAAUCACCACCUUCAGAGAUGAUGAGAACCUUAGAGUUGGUGAUACUCUUCUUGAAGCCAUUGAAAGAUCCAAGAUAUCUAUUGCUGUGCUGUGUAAGGACUAUGCUUCUUCCACAUGGUGUUUGGAUGAACUAGUACAGAUCAUGAAGUGCUGGAAUAAUGGAAAAAAUCAACCGGUUUUGCCAAUCUUUUAUCAAGUGGAACCAUCAGAUGUGAGGCGCCAGAGGAACCAAUAUGAAAAAGACAUGAUGAAGCAUGAAGACACAUCAAAGACUCCCAUCAUAUAAAAGCAUGGAGGUUGGCUUUGCAUCAAGUGGCCGAUCUAAGCGGAGUGACUUGUAAAGUGAAGAGGCAAAUGACGUGGAAGAAGAAGACAUGACUGACAGACAUGAAACUGAAAAUAACAUUGAGUAUUGGAAGAUGAACGUGGGUUGGAAGAUUAGAGCAAUAGAAGCUGAAAUUAGGAUUUUAAAAGUAUGAAAUAAUAUUUUGAGUUUUUUUCUUGUUUUUUUUUUUGUAGUUGUAACCAUUGGCUAUGUCUUGG